rnacentral:rRNA from 1 species
AUUGAACGCUGGCGGCAUGCUUUACACAUGCAAGUCGAACGGUAACAGGGUGCUUGCACCGCUGACGAGUGGCGAACGGGUGAGUAAUGCAUCGGAAUGUACCGUGUAAUGGGGGAUAGCUCGGCGAAAGCCGGAUUAAUACCGCAUACGCCCUGAGGGGGAAAGUGGGGGACCGAAAGGCCUCACGUUAUACGAGCAGCCGAUGUCGGAUUAGCUAGUUGGUGAGGUAAAGGCUCACCAAGGCGGCGAUCAGUAGCGGGUCUGAGAGGAUGAUCCGCCACAAGGGGAGUGAAACACGGCCAAGACUCCUACGGGAGGCAGCAGUGGGGAAUUUGGGACAAUGGGCGCAAGCCUGAUCCAGCCAUGGCGCGUGUCUGAAGAAGGCCUUCAGGUUGUAAAGGACUUUUGUCAGGGAGCAAAUCCUAGUGGUUAAUAACCGCUGGGUCUGAGAGUACCGGAAGAAUAAGCACCGGCUAACUACGUG